GAAUCCAGCUGUAAGUAUUGGAAGCAAGUUGAACAGAAAAAGUGGUCAUGGACUAUUUUGGGAAAAGUGUACUCAGCAGAUGGACAUAGCAAUAAAAGAGAAUAUCCAACCAGCCACUGAGGAACAGAAGAGCUGCAAUAAAUAUUAUUAAAGGGAAAGGUAGCCCUCACUGCUUUCCCGAGAAGA